GUACAUCAAUACAAGCAACUCUUUUCAGAUUAAUUAAGGAAUCAAUCUCCCAUGGUGGAUGGUUGAUGCAGCAGAGGGGGCCAGCUACGGCAGCACACGAGGUCUUUGGCUCCAAGCUCAGCGUGAGGAAGAGGAAUAAACUAAAUACAGAUGAAAAAUACUGCAAGUUGUGAAUUUUUACAAGAUCUAACAAAUUGCAUAAACAUCUAUUCAUGUAUCCGUAGGCCAAAUACUGCAGGCACGAAGGAGACAACUUCCAGCCUGCACAGACUACCAACACAGUUGCUGCUUCAGCUGACUGCAGCUCGACGGCUAGCUGUUUGAAAAGGGAGGGACAUAUGUUAUGUGGGGCCAGACCUACAGGAGGGCCACGGCUGUAACUUAAGGGGCAGGUUGAGCAUUUUUCUGAAACUUCUAUGCACUGGGAAGACUAGCCUUAUUCUGAAACUGUGAGGAGCAAGUGAAUUAAACGGUAGUGAAACAUGAUCAUCUCUCUCUACAGAGGAGAAUCUAAAUACGCCCAUCUCCCAUACAGAUGUAGAACUUUCUUUCUUUCUCUCAUCUACCCGCAGCUCAAGGCCAGCAGCAGCAAGCCACAAAGGCAAGCAGCAGCGGCAAGCAAAACAACCAGCAUCAGCAAGCGGCAAAGCAAGCAGCCAGCAGCGGCAACAACAACAAAGAACAAAGAAAGCUAGUAGCGAACAGUAGCAGCAAGCAGCCAGCAGCAGGCAGAGGCGACU